GACCUCGUAGCUUAGAUGGUAAGAGCAUUGGCUGCACUCAAGCCUUGCCCUUGCUGUCGUGGGUUUGAAUCCCACCGAGACCA
rnacentral:tRNA from 1 species